CUCCGAUCAUUCCGGAACAGUUCUAUUGUCUCCUUCACAUCAUGAAAAAUACUGUGUUGCUGCACCAUCAAAGAAAAAAAAAAUAAAAAAUAAAAAAUAAACCAGAUCAGAGUCGCAGCUAGGUGUCGGAGGACCACAGGCAUCUUUUGAAGCGGUGCAACAAUUUUUUUCUUUUCUUUUGGUUUUCCCAUUUUUGUUGUGGGCAGUGACCUCUCUUGCGGAUUUUGCUUGAUGUGAAAGCUCCGCAAUUAGCGUGGUCAUCGCAGCUAAGUUGUAUUAUUUUUAUCGUUACUUUCGCAUUGAAAGAGCCCGAUGGUUGUCGUCGAUCCGUUGCUUGCUAGUUCAACAUUUCUUGUUCGGCACGGAAGGAAGGAGAGAUACAACCGGUGGUUGCGUCGUGGAUCUCUUGUCUUCUUUGUAUGCGACGACUAGCCAGAAAACCUUGUGUCGUAGUUUUGGCGGUUCUGAAGCAGGUCGAGGGGGCUGCUCGCUCUCAUUCAGGGCGCUUCUGCAGCAUUGUUAGUGGCGAUUCUAUUUUACUUUUUGUUCUCGUUGGCGGUCUUGCUUCCGAGUGUGCUGCGGUCAAGACUUGCGUGCAAGCUCUCGUUUUUUCAGUGUGCGAUCGUGCCGAGGGUUGCCCUGAGAUCGACCAAGGAGGCCCUUGUGAUCGACAUAAAUUGAUCUUAUUUAUUGGUAUGAAGAAGGAGCAGCGUGCGGUGGUCUGCUGAAGGCCCUAGUAUUAACGUCCAAAGCGACGCUCGCCCUGAACAUCAAGAAAAUUGGUUCGGAUUUCCGGGAAGGAGCUACCGGGGUCCGUCAAAGUGCGCAGCCCGGUCACAUUUCUUUCUCUUUGCUUUUUGUUACGGGUUGGAGCUCGGAUUUUCUCGGUGUGUGCUUCUUCAUCGAGUGUGUUCUGGGAUUGUUGCUUUUCCGGCGCGUUGGAGAAAAUCAAUUUCUUUUGACAGUAUUGUCUGGUCGAGGGAGAGCCCCUCAUCUGGAGCAGAUUGGAAGGGAGUUGCAAGAUUGUGGUCGAACGGAAGGAACGUCUUGUGAAGAGGGACACUUCUUCAACGUCCCUGGUCAGAAGCAUAUUGCAAGGAACUCGUAUUAAAAAGGGAGCUUGAAGAAUUUUAGAAUAAAGUAGAAAGAAGCUUAGUUAAGAAUUUAGAAGUAUUUUGAGGAUUAAGAUUAAAUUAGGAGUAGACAAGGAUCUUCACCAAAAGAGAGUUUUUCUUCAAAAUGGGUUAUUACUUCCUUUCUUUGUCAAAUCCUUGUUGAUUGCCCAUCUCUAGUGGUUGAAGGGAUUUAAUCACCUUCUCCACCCUUCAUAUCCUCUCUUUACAUUUAAUUGUAAAUUCCUUGUUGGUGGCAAUUCUUU